UUCCCCUAGUAACGGCGAGUGAAGCGGGAUGAGCUCAAAUUUAAAAUCUGGCUGGUUUACUAGUCCGAAUUGUAGUUUAAAGAAGCGUUUUCCGUGGCAGCCUGGGUAUAAAUCCUUUGGAACAGGGUAUCAUAGAGGGUGAGAAUCCCGUCUUUGACUCAGUGCAUGCUACUAUGUGAUACGUUUUCAAAGAGUCGAGUUGUUUGGGAAUGCAGCUCAAAAUGGGUGGUAAAUUUCAUCUAAAGCUAAAUAUUGGCGAGAGACCGAUAGCGAACAAGUACCGUGAGGGAAAGAUGAAAAGAACUUUGAAAAGAGAGUUAAACAGUGCGUGAAAUUGUUGAAAGGGAAACGCUUGACACCAGUCAUGCGGGUGGAAAAUCAAUCUUUUGCAGCGGGGAGUGGUGGGCGUUCAGACCGCAAGGCUGGCGUUUGCUUCAUCUUUGUUGUAAGUGAUGCACUUUUUCAUCUGCAGGUCAACAUCAGUUUGUUCUGCUGGACAAAACUCCAAGAGAAGGUAGCAGCUUAGGCUGUGUUAUAGCUCUGGAGCGAUACAGUGGAGUGGACUGAGGUUUUCGCAGCAUGUGCUCUCGGGCAAGGCUGAUUGGGUGCUAUGGGAUCGUUCGGCGUACAAUGCUUGCAUUUUGCGUCGUGUCUUUUCUGUACUCGCUCAACUCGGCUCUUCCAUGCUUAGGAUGUUGACUUAAUGGUUUUAAUCGACCCGUCUUGAAACACGGACCAAGGAGUCUAACAUAUAUGCAAGUGUUUGGGUGGCAAACCCAUGCGCGUAAUGAAAGUGAACGUAGUGCCAUCCGCAAGGUGCAGCAUCGACCGAUCUUGAUAUUUUGGAUAGAUUUGAGUAAGAGCAUAUAUGCUGGGACCCGAAAGAUGGUGACUAUGCCUGAUAGGUGAGCAGAGGAAACUCUGGUGGAGCUCGUAGCGAUUCUGACGUGCAAUCGAUCGUCAAUUUGGUAUAAGGCGAAGACUAUCGACCAUCUAGUAGUGGUCUACCAGUGUCU
rnacentral:rRNA from 2 species